UGAAAGCAUCUAAGCACGAAACUUGCCCCGAGAUGAGUUCUCCCUGAGACUUUAAGUCUCCUGAAGGAACGUUGAAGACGACGACGUUGAUAGGCCGGGUGUGUAAGCGCAGCGAUGCGUUGAGCUAACCGGUACUAAUGAACCGUGAGGCUUAACCUU
rnacentral:rRNA from 1 species